UGUUCCUUUGGGGCUCUUGUGUCCU
rnacentral:piRNA from 1 species